rnacentral:tRNA from 1 species
GCCGAGGUGGUGGAAUGGUAGACACCGGGGACUUAAAAUCCCCUGGAUGAAUAAUCCGUGUGAGUUCAAAUCUCAUCCUCGGCA